rnacentral:rRNA from 1 species
UACGGGGGGGAGCAAGCGUUGUUCGGAUUUACUGGGCGUAAAGGGCGCGUAGGCGGCCACCGCAAGUCGACUGUGAAAUCUCCGGGCUUAACCCGGAAAGGUCAGCCGAUACUGCGGGGCUAGAGUGCAGAAGGGGCAACUGGAAUUCUCGGUGUAGCGGUGAAAUGCGUAGAUAUCAAGAGGAACACCUGCGGCGAAGGCGGGUUGCUGGGCCGACACUGACGCUGAAGCGCGAAAGCCAGGGGAGCGAACGGG